rnacentral:rRNA from 1 species
GCAAGUCGAGGGGUAACAUUGGAGCUUGCUCCAGAUGACGACCGGCGCACGGGUGCGUAACGCGUAUAGAAUCUACCUUAUACUAAGGGAUAGCCUUUGGAAACGAAGAUUAAUACCUUAUAGUAUGUUUUAUUGGCAUCAAUAGAAUAUUAAAGGUUACGGUAUAAGAUGACUAUGCGUCCUAUUAGCUAGAUGGUAAGGUAACGGCUUACCAUGGCAACGAUAGGUAGGGGCCCUGAGAGGGGGAUC